ACAAGGUUCCAGAAACCUGGGCCUCCAGUCCUUGUGUGCGGGGUCACAGGACAAACAUGCAGGUCACUCACAGGGAAGGACUGAUAAAGCUCUGAGUCCACAGCCACCGACAUCCACGGUACCACCCCCACCCCAGUCAGCGGUACUCAGGGAAGCUGAGCAGAGGAAAGGCCGGAAUGUGCCCGCGAUAUUUCCACAACUUUAAGGAGGAUAGUCUCCCUCCCUCCCAUUCCUCGCUCAACUCCCCAGAUUCAGAAGUGAACCCUGCAAGGGUAUGUGUGUGACAAAAAGGGAGAAAUGGAGCUUUCGUGCAAUUCUAAGGUGUCAACGGCCGGUCCUUCUCAAAGGAAGGUGUUAAAAAUAUAAGUAGUAUGUUUAAACUGUCAGGGAGCCAAAGUGUCACCUUAGAGCAAAAACAAAGCCAAGGGAGAAGGGAGAAAUCAAAAAGCACUCCGGGCCAGGGUGGCCUCAUGCAUACCAAUGGUUUUUGUCAUUUAUGGCUGGGCAAGAUUUAUGACUCGGCGCCCCAAAGCUGUAAACAGAGCACAAAACAGCAAACACUUGCUCCUUAUGGCAUAUUGCAGCAGCUCAACUUGAAAGGGGGAGCCGGGCCGCGUAGGAGGCGAGAGCCGGCCACAAAAAUCCGCUCGGCGGCAUUUUCUCUUCAAACUGUCCAGGUCCGAUGUGGCAUUUGAAGAAAGAAGGCGUGGGUCAAUAAUCAACCCGCACUUUCUCCUCCAAACUGCUGACGCGACUCUCACGCUUCUCAACUCAGCCAGCUGCCUGCAGGGACGGCCAGCUCUGUGAGACCUGCCAGGGAAGGGAUGGCCGGGCCGCGGAUCGAGGGCACCGAGAGAAAAAUCCCUCCUGUCAGUGUUUCAUGGCCAGAAACUACCCUUGGCUGCAGCGGCUGCUGUGUCCUUUCCAGGCAAAUCCCGCAGCCAUGCACCCGGCUCCACCAAAGCCACUGGGGUUUUCUUUGCUAAGAAGACUCCAUGGCUCCCCAAAUUCCCCCAAGUCCCCGUGCUCCCAGCCUCCCGCCCACGGGGACCAGAAGAAACCCUGUUCUCAGCACUAGAAGAAUAUUUGGAACAGCAAGGGCACGCUGCUGCCUUCUCAGGGCUCUUCUUGUGAAGUGUCUGAGAGGCCACCGUGGCUGGGAGCGCUGGCUGGGCAGCCAGGGACCAAGGUGAGGAAGGACUGUUGGCAAGAAGAGGCAUCAAAACCCCCAAAUGGGGAGGAAAGUUCAUGAGGAAAUACACUUGCCUGUGAGGGUGAGGCUGGCGCUGGGAGGGUGAAAAGGGGCUAAGCCUUCUUAUAGCUACAGUUUAGCUGUAACAGUAGCCCUAGCUCUUUCCUUGGAGGAAAAGCCGGUGCUCUCUGUAUGUGGCUGCUGGUUUCCUCGCACUGUGCACACUUUCGUACAGAACCGGCUGGAGAGCCCUCCCUUAGAUACUUAUUCUGCUCGCUAGUACUGAAGCAACAAUAAAAAGAUGCCUUUAACAAACCUCUAUUCCCUCUCUUGUUCUUUCUAGUGAAACUAUAUUAUUUAUGAGUCUUUAACUGGGUCAAAAAUGCGCCAGAACUGGGUCAUAAAUCAAAUGAAAUGCUGACAAGUAAUUGAACAGCAAUUAAAGCUUACAUUUUAUUUCUAAGGGGUGUUUUAGAGCACUUGAAACGGCCUCAGUUAAACAUGUUACUGCCGGGGCUGGCAGAGGGGGAGGGUGGAACAGCCCUUCCAUUCUAGGGAAUAAAUCCCACUCAAGUAGGGUAAGCUACAUUUGAUUUUUUUCAAGUAGAAAGAAAAAAUAAGAUUUUUUUU